GGUGUCAAAAAUUGAAAUUGAUGGUGCUUGCACCUGAUUGAUUUUGGUCGCCAACGAGUGGCGGACGGGUGAGUAACACGUAGGUAACCUGCCCAGAAGCGGGGGACAACAUUUGGAAACAGAUGCUAAUACCGCAUAACAACGUUGUUCGCAUGAACAACGCUUAAAAGAUGGCUUCUCGCUAUCACUUCUGGAUGGACCUGCGGUGCAUUAGCUUGUUGGUGGGGUAAUGGCCUACCAAGGCGAUGAUGCAUAGCCGAGUUGAGAGACUGAUCGGCCACAAUGGGACUGAGACACGGCCCAUACUCCUACGGGAGGCAGCAGUAGGGAAUCUUCCACAAUGGGCGCAAGCCUGAUGGAGCAACACCGCGUGAGUGAAGAAGGGUUUCGGCUCGUAAAGCUCUGUUGUUAAAGAAGAACACGUAUGAGAGUAACUGUUCAUACGUUGACGGUAUUUAACCAGAAAGUCACGGCUAACUACGUGCCAGCAGCCGCGGUAAUACGUAGGUGGCAAGCGUUAUCCGGAUUUAUUGGGCGUAAAGAGAGUGCAGGCGGUUUUCUAAGUCUGAUGUGAAAGCCUUCGGCUUAACCGGAGAAGUGCAUCGGAAACUGGAUAACUUGAGUGCAGAAGAGGGUAGUGGAACUCCAUGUGUAGCGGUGGAAUGCGUAGAUAUAUGGAAGAACACCAGUGGCGAAGGCGGCUACCUGGUCUGCAACUGACGCUGAGACUCGAAAGCAUGGGUAGCGAACAGGAUUAGAUACCCUGGUAGUCCAUGCCGUAAACGAUGAGUGCUAGGUGUUGGAGGGUUUCCGCCCUUCAGUGCCCGGAGCUAACGCAUUAAGCACUCCGCCCUGGGGGAGUACGACCCGCAACGUUUGGAACUCAAACGAAGUGAACGGGGGUCCCGCAACAGCGGUGGGGAGCAAUGGUUGGGCUUUUAAAACUCGC
rnacentral:rRNA from 2 species